rnacentral:rRNA from 1 species
AACGAACGCUGGCGGCGUGCCUAACACAUGCAAGUCGAACGAAACCUUCGGGUCUUUUGUCGCACGGGUUCGUAACGCGUGGGAACCUUCCUUUAUGUUCGGAAUAACUCAGAGAAUUUUGAGCUAAUGCCGGAUGAUGUCUUCUGACCAAAGAUUUAUCGCCUUUAGUUGUGCCCUCGUUGGAUUAGCUAGUUGGUGGGGUAAAGGCCUACCAAGGAGAGGAUCCAUAGCUGGUCUGAGAGGAUGAUCAUCCACACUGGGACUGAGAAACGGCCCAGAAUCCUACGGGAGGCAGCAGUGGGGAAUAGUGGACAACGGGCGAAAGCAUGAUCCAGCAAUGACGCGUGAGUGAUGAAGGCAUUAGGGUAGUAAAGCUCUUUUAACCGAGAUGAUAAUGACAGUAUCGGGAGAAUAAGCCCCGGCUAACUACGUG